GGUUAAGCGAACAAGCGUACACGGUGGAUGCCCUGGCAGUCAGAGGCGAUGAAGGACGUGCUAAUCUGCGAAAAGCGCCGGUAAGGUGAUAUGAACCGUUAUAACCGGCGAUGUCCGAAUGGGGAAACCCGGUGCACUUCGGUGCAUCAUCGUUAGCUGAAUACAUAGGCUAACGAGGCGAACCGGGGGAACUGAAACAUCUAAGUACCCCGAGGAAAAGAAAUCAACCGAGAUUCCCCCAGUAGCGGCGAGCGAACGGGGAACAGCCCAGAGCCUGAAUCAGCUUGUGUGUCAGUGGAACGGUCUGGAAAGGCCGGCGAUACAGGGUGACAGCCCCGUACACGAAGGCACACAGGCUGUGAGCUCGAUGAGUAGGGCGGGACACGUGAUAUCCUGUCUGAAGAUGGGGGGACCAUCCUCCAAGGCUAAAUACUCCUGACUGACCGAUAGUGAACCAGUACCGUGAGGGAAAGGCGAAAAGAACCCCGGCGAGGGGAGUGAAACAGAACCUGAAACCGUGUACGUACAAGCAGUGGGAGCCUUCGUAAGAGGGUGACUGCGUACCUUUUGUAUAAUGGGUCAGCGACUUAUAUUCUGUAGCAAGGUUAACCGUAUAGGGGAGCCGAAGGGAAACCGAGUCUUAAUUGGGCGUUAAGUUGCAGGGUAUAGACCCGAAACCCGGUGAUCUAGCCAUGGGCAGGUUGAAGGUUGGGUAACACUAACUGGAGGACCGAACCGACUAAUGUUGAAAAAUUAGCGGAUGACCUGUGGCUGGGGGUGAAAGGCCAAUCAAACCGGGAGAUAGCUGGUUCUCCCCGAAAGCUAUUUAGGUAGCGCCUCGUGAACUCAUCUCCGGGGGUAGAGCACUGUUUCGGCUAGGGGGCCAUCCCGGCUUACCAACCCGAUGCAAACUGCGAAUACCGGAGAAUGUUAUCACGGGAGACACACGGCGGGUGCUAACGUCCGUCGUGAAGAGGGAAACAACCCAGACCGCCAGCUAAGGUCCCAAAGUCAUGGUUAAGUGGGAAACGAUGUGGGAAGGCCCAGACAGCCAGGAUGUUGGCUUAGAAGCAGCCAUCAUUUAAAGAAAGCGUAAUAGCUCACUGGUCGAGUCGGCCUGCGCGGAAGAUGUAACGGGGCUAAACCAUGCACCGAAGCUGCGGCAGCGAC
rnacentral:rRNA from 1 species